UACGUAGGGUGCGAGCGUUUGUCCGGAAUUAUUGGGCGUAAAGAGCUCGUAGGCGGUCUGUCGCGUCGGAUGUGAAAAUCCAGGGCUCAACCCUGGACCUGCAUUCGAUACGGGCAGACUAGAGUGCGGUAGGGGAGACUGGAAUUCCUGGUGUAGCGGUGAAAUGCGCAGAUAUCAGGAGGAACACCGGUGGCGAAGGCGGGUCUCUGGGCCGUAACUGACGCUGAGGAGCGAAAGCGUGGGGAGCAAACAGG
rnacentral:rRNA from 1 species